ACUCGUCUGAAAGGUCUCUCAGGUUGUCGUUCGUCACGAUGACUCCGUCCGUCUUCUGUGCAAGCUGCAGCAUAAAUCUGUGGAAACAGGAGAAACGUGAGAGGCCUCGACUGAAACAAGCAGAGCGUAUCUACCUGUCAUCGUACGAGCUGAUCCUCUUGCCCUGGACCUCUCUGGACGGGGUGUAGGAGACGAGGCCCAGCUUCUGCAGCUCACCGAGAUAGUGCUGUUCUGAGAGGCAGGAACAAACAGACAAUGUGUUUAGUCCGUGGAGAGCGCUGAUGUGUCGAUGGCCUCGGUCCCAAAAGUGCUGGACGGCCAGGGCGAUUCCUCGACAGGAGAAAAAAUGACCCAACCCGUGACUGUGGAAGACAUCAAACAAAGAUCAUCUUCUGACAACGUUCUGACUAAGCGUGAGUUACCCGGUACGUCAGGAAAACCCCGUUUCACGUCCACCUGCCACGUCCAGCUUUGUUUGUCUACACGUCUGCCCUCCACCACCUCGGACACACUUCGCCUGAACUGCACCUUCCCUUUGUGUCGUACAUAAACUGUUUAAACGAGAUUCAGUCUCUGGUCGGUGUUUGCACUUGAGUCCUCUACCUUUCGCAUCAACAUAUAUUUAAAGCUCACGUGUUAUAUAAUAUAUUUGUGCACAUAUUCUGGCUAACUAAAGAACAAAAA